rnacentral:rRNA from 1 species
UACGAAGGGGGCUAGCGUUGUUCGGAAUUACUGGGCGUAAAGCGCACGUAGGCGGGUUGUUAAGUCAGGGGUGAAAUCCUGGAGCUCAACUCCAGAACUGCCUUUGAUACUGGCAACCUAGAGACUGGAAGAGGUUAGUGGAAUUCCCAGUGUAGAGGUGAAAUUCGUAGAUAUUGGGAAGAACACCGGUGGCGAAGGCGGCAUCCUGGACCAACACUGACGCUGAGUGAGCGAAAGCCAGGGGAGCAAACGGG